GAGGAGUAGUGUAGUGGUAGCGCAUUGGGUUGACAGACCCACGUCUUGGGUUCGAUCCCCAGGGCGCCCCC
rnacentral:tRNA from 1 species